rnacentral:tRNA from 1 species
GGUGCUGUGGCGCAGCAGGUUAACGCCCUGGCCUGAAGUGCCAGCAUCCCAUAUGGGCGCAGGUUCUAGUCCUAGCUGCUCCU